GACGAACGCUGGCGGCGUGCUUAACACAUGCAAGUCGAACGGACAGACAGAGAGCUUGCUCUCUUGAAGUUAGUGGCGAACGGGUGAGUAACGCGUAAUCAACCUGCCCUUCAGAGGGGGAUAACAACGGGAAACCGUUGCUAAUACCGCGUACGAUUCAUGAACGGCAUCGUUUAUGAAUGAAAGGUGGCCUCUAUGUAUAAGCUAUCGCUGAAGGAGGGGAUUGCGUCUGAUUAGCUAGUUGGAGGGGUAACGGCCCGCCAAGGCAAUGAUCGGUAGCCUGUCUGAGAGGGUGAACGGCAACAUUGGGACUGAAACACGGCCCAAACUCCUACGGGAGGCAGCAGUGGGGAAUCUUCCGCAAUGGACGAAAGUCUGACGGAGCAACGCCGCGUGAGUGAUGAAGGUCUUCGGAUUGUAAAGCUCUGUUAAUCGGGACGAAAGAGUUCUGCGUGAAUAAUGCAGAAAAGUGACGGUACCGGAAUAGAAAGCCACGGCUAACUACGUGCCAGCCGCCGCCGUAA
rnacentral:rRNA from 1 species